rnacentral:rRNA from 1 species
GACGAACUGUUCUAACGUUAUUCGGAAUCACUGGGCUUAAAGGGCGCGUAGGCUGUUUGUUAAGCGGGGUCUGAAAUCCCUCGGCUCAACCGAGGAACUGGGCUUCGAACUGGCAGACUAGAGUGAAGUAGGGGUAAGCGGAACUUGCGGUGGAGCGGUGAAGUGCUUUGAUAUCGCAAGGAACACCGGCGGCGAAGGCGGCUUACUGGGCUUCAACUGACGCUUAAGCGCGAAAGCUAGGGUAGCGAACGGGAUUAGAUACCCGGGUAGUCCCUGAGCGGGCUGGCAA